UACGGGGGGGGCAAGCGUUGUUCGGAAUUACUGGGCGUAAAGGGCGCGUAGGCGGCCUUCUAAGUCGAACGUGAAAUCCCCGGGCUCAACCCGGGAACUGCGUCCGAGACUGGAAGGCUUGAAUCCGGGAGAGGGAUGUGGAAUUCCAGGUGUAGCGGUGAAAUGCGUAGAUAUCUGGAGGAACAUCGGUGGCGAAGGCGGCAUCCUGGACCGGUAUUGACGCUGAGACGCGAAAGCGUGGGGAGCAAACAGG
rnacentral:rRNA from 1 species